AUCGUAUUCUCAAGUUGACAGCAGAUAUGAACAGCAACUCGAGUCUCUAAGUCAAACACUGCUCAACGAGAAUCAAGUGUUUAAAAGUCCAAAUCAGACAUUUGACUGUUUUAACAACCGGCGCCUAUCACUUGGUGAGUUUAACCUUUAUGUAAUGCCUAGGAACAGUAAAACGAGUAGAAAAAAAAGCAUGUUAUUUUGGGCAGAUAUAUAUCAAGAUAUUUCAAUCUGAAUCACUAGUUUGUCUAAUUUAUUUUGCUUACAGAUGGCGUGCGAGGCCCUUAUCAGGUCAAUAAAUCCUUGAUUUCACCCUUGGCACCAGAUGCUGGCACAAUUCCAAGCACAAAUAGUUUCUCCACAUUUGAACCAGCAACUCCAGAGAGGAACCACUUCAAGGACAACCAGCAUUU
rnacentral:lncRNA from 1 species